rnacentral:tRNA from 1 species
AUUUUCUUAGUAUAAUAGUAUAAAUGAUUUCCAAUCAUUAGGCUUUGGUUAGACCCCAAGAGAGAAUA